CCUGCUCCUAGAGGCGCUGCAGGUGUGGCUGCUGUGCCACGUGUGCGUCAGUGGGUGGCGGAGAGGACAGAGGCUGUGUCUACACUCAGUGUUCUGACCUGCGAGCACCUGGAUCAUUAGUGGCCUUACCCU